rnacentral:rRNA from 1 species
GAUGAACGCUGGCGGCGUGCCUAACACAUGCAAGUCGAGCGGACGGACGGAGCUUUUGCUUGGAUGAAGUGGGGGGCGGGCGGGUGAGUCACAGGAGUAUACCCUCCCUGUCGGGCUGAGAUCACGAAGGGAGAGCGGAUAUCACACCGGAUCAGAUGUUGAAACGGGGGGUUCAUAGGAGAUAGACGGACGUGCUGUGCCUAGUCGAGGGUUCCGCGCUGGAUUAGCUAGUUGGUAAGGUAACGGCCUACCAAGGCUACGAUGCGUGGCCGAGCUGAGAGGGUGAUCGGCCACACUGGAACUGAGACACGGUCCAGACUCCUACGGGAGGCAGCAGUAGGGAAUCUUCGGCAAUGGGCGAAAACCUGACCCAGCAACGCCGCGUGUGUGAAGAAGGUCUUCGGAUCGUAAAGCACUGUUAGUUGGGAAGAACAGAUGUGAAAUGAUACGUUGCCAUCUUGACGUUACCUAAUCAAAAAGCACCGGCUAACUACGUG